rnacentral:rRNA from 1 species
CGAAAGCCUGACGGAGCAAUACCGCGUGAGGGAGGAAGGCUCUUGGGUCGUAAACCUCUUUUCUCAGGGAAGAACACAAUGACGGUACCUGAGGAAUAAGCAUCGGCUAACUCCGUGCCAGCAGCCGCGGUAAUACGGAGGAUGCAAGCGUUAUCCGGAAUGAUUGGGCGUAAAGCGUCCGCAGGUGGCUGUGUAAGUCUGCUGUUAAAGAGUCUAGCUCAACUAGAUAAAAGCAGUGGAAACUACACGGCUAGAGUACGUUCGGGGCAGAGGGAAUUCCUGGUGUAGCGGUGAAAUGCGUAGAGAUCAGGAAGAACACCAGUGGCGAAGGCGCUCUGCUAGGCCGUAACUGACACUGAGGGACGAAAGCUAGGGGAGCG